UACAGAGGGCUCGAGCGUUAAUCGGAAUCACUGGGCUUAAAGCGUGCGUAGGCGGGCGUGUAAGCAUCUUGUGAAAGCCCCCGGCUCAACCGGGGAAUUGCUUGGUGAACUGCACGUCUUGAGGCAAGUAGAGGUGGUCGGAACGAUAGGUGGAGCGGUGAAAUGCGUAGAUAUCUAUCGGAACGCCAACGGAGAAGUCAGGCCACUGGGCUUGUUCUGACGCUGAGGCACGAAAGCGUGGGUAGCGAACGGGAUUAGAUACCCCGGUAGUCCACGCCGUAAACGAUGCGCACUAGGUCGAGGAGGUUUGACGCCCUCUUGGCCGAAGCAAAAGUGUUAAGUGCGCCGCCUGGGGAGUACGGUCGCAAGGCUAAAACUCAAAGGAAUUGACGGGGGCUCACACAAGCGGUGGAGCAUGUGGCUUAAUUCGAAGCAACGCGAAGAACCUUAUCCAGGGUUUGACAUGCACGGAUCAACCCCAUGAAAGUGGGGCCACACCCGCAAGGGCGGAACGUGCACAGGUGCUGCAUGGCUGUCGUCAGCUCGUGCUGUGAAGUGUCGGGUUAAGUCCCUCAACGAGCGAAACCCCUGUCGCUAGUUACCAUCAGGUAAUGCUGGGGACUCUAGCGAGACUGCCGGUGUCAAACCGGAGGAAGGUGGGGAUGACGUCAAGUCCUCAUGGCCUUUAUGCCCUGGGCUGCACACGUGCUACAAUGGUGGGUACAAAACGAUGCAAGACCGCGAGGUGGAGCAAAUCGCCAAAACCCGCCCCAGUUCGGAUUGCAGGCUGCUACUCGCCUGCAUGAAGUCGGAAUCGCUAGUAAUCGCGGAUCAGCUACGCCGCGGUGAAUACGUUCCUGAGCCU
rnacentral:rRNA from 1 species